rnacentral:lncRNA from 1 species
AAUAUAAUUACAAUGCGCGAUUAUGAUGUUUCCAUCAUCAUCCAUGACUUUUAUUCGAUGUAGUUAUAUUUUUUGAAAAUAAAAAAAAUUAUAAAACAUAAAAUGUGAUUAAUAUAUUUAUGUUUUAUAUAAAUAUAAACUAUUGAAUAAAAAUGAAUAACAAAUGUGAAUCGAAUACAUUGAAAAUAAAUAAUAAUAUUAUAAAUUACGGCUAUAAAAGAUAAUUUUGUGACAACCGGUUGUUAUUUUUAAACUUCCGGAGAAAAUAUUAAAUUUACAUGAAAAAGGCAGCAUAAAGCUGCACAUAUUGGCUUGCCUGUCCACAAUAGAAAAUACAUGACAAAAGACAAACAGUUCCAACAUUGACAAUUAUUGCAUCCUAAUAAAUAGAGUAGAGUUUAUUCACGAUCAGGAAAUAGGAGAAGCAUCUGAAGGCUUGCUACGCAGGAGAGAUGAUGCUGGACGAUAGAGAUAGGAAUAAUGGGCUUACUUUAUUGGCCAGCAUCAUACUCCUGCAUAUUAAGCCUCAAAUGAUGCUAACAAAACUAAGUUAAUUACCAUGAUGGUUUAUAGAUAGUUGAGACAGAGAUCAUUUAUCUGUUUUGUUCAUAGACUAUAGUUUGCAGUUAAUUCACAUAGUUCAGCUAACAAUGUUAAUUGUUAGUUAACAGGUUCUUUCUAUUUUGGAUGCAGAUGACAGACUUGGAUCGACACUUCGCCGAACAUGGGUAUUGAAAAGCUUAACAAUUUGUAGGUUCCCAAUUGUAAAGUGAUUUCUGCUCUACUUUGUCUGAUGAAUGGGCUCUUCUAUUUUUUUUUUUUUUUUUUUUUUUUUUUUUUUUUUUUUUUCAUAAAAGCUCAUGUUAAGUAUUGCUGCUUUGCAGAAUGAUUUGAUUCAUCAAAUGACAAUUGUAUGAAAAGCAAACGACCUGGACCUCCAAAGGACGUCGGCAGCUGGUAGAGAAGUUCAUUUUUUCCUCUUCAAAACACAAGAAAAUGCGGACCUAGAUCUCUAAAGGACUAGAAUACAAAACACAUAAGCUUCAAAUCCUAACUCCGUCUUUACGGUCAGAGUAGAACUGGGCAGAGAGUUUCAAGUAUAAGGUGAGGUUGAUUCAUCUAAGAAAAGAGUUUCAACAACAUAAAUAUCACAAGCCAACUAUAAAUAAGCAAGCAAGAAGGAUAAACCAGAGAAGGCGCAAAAUAGGCAAACAUACUUGGUAUCUCAAGGAAUAUUGUGUAAGAAGAUAUAAGGAAAUAGGAACUAUCAUAUCCAACCACAGCUGCAGAAUUUGUUAUUUUCCUUUUGCAAGUGUAACUGAUCAUCAUCAUUUCUUUCUUUUUUGGAUUUCAGCAAGUUCAGUUCCAAGUUUCUAUGGCUUCUGUCCUGAAGCAUAUUAUCAAAUUGUUUAGGACAGUGAAGUAUAUGGAAGUUCAGAUGAAGGCACUGAGAACAGAGGAUUCUACUGACAAUGCAUCCCCUGAGCAAAAAAUAAAGAUAGUUCAAGAAAAUUUAAUCAAGUCAGAAGCAUGUCAAUUUGGGUUUGAUUUGAAUUUAUCCCAUCCAAUUGCAAGAAGUGAUUCCUCAUGUGAAACAUUUAUUUGUUUAGUUCAUUAAAAAAAUAUGAAAUUAUUGUGUCCAAACACACAUGUAUGUAUAUAUAAUCGUACAAGUAAUAUAAGAUUUUUAUGUUCGGAUAUAGUAUCCACAGGGACUUGUCGAUAAACUAUUUUACUAAAUUAGACUAAGGCCUCAUUUGUUUGCACUUAAUGGAGGUCUGAAUCUGAAUGAUUCAGACUUCAGAUCAUUAAGUGCAUUUGUUUUUUAUUAAGAUUUUAGUUUUUAAUAGGUCUUAAUUAUUCAAAUUUGAAACUAAGUCUUAAUCAUUAGGAGGUAUUCUUGUAUUGGAUAAUAUUCACCACAUUCUCUCCACAAUAAUCCAUCACCACUAGUAACCACCUCUGCCAUCCCACCAUUGUCAACCACCACCUUGCCACCAACCACCACCACCACCACCACCAACCACCUCCACCAUCACAACCACCAUUUACUAUCAUAAUUGCUACUAACCACUAUUUUCAGCCGCUACCAUAUCUACCACUUUCAUUAUUUUAAUUAUAUCUGUCUCUAUCACCAUCAUCAACGCCAACGCCAAUGCCAACACCACCAUCAUCAACAUUAUCAACCAAUUCCAACUACUAGACAACUUAUUUAUCACAAUUAGCUCCAUCACUAACUACUACUGACACAUCAUCAACAUCCACACAUUCUUCGACCACCGUCACCGAUGUCGCCACCUCUACCACUGCUUCAACCACCAUCACUACUAUAGUAUAUCUCUACUAAUAAUCAUCUCCACCAUCACAGCUAACGGCAUCUCAAACUACCACCAUUACAUCGUUAACCAUCAUGCAUUCAUUAAGCUAUCACAAUCAACACCUUCAACUACUAACAUCAACCAACUUCACAUCACUACCACCACCACUACCAAUCGCUACCAUCAUAGCAAUCACUACAAUAUCAAACAUCUCUGUCAUCACAACUAUCAUCACCAAUAUUAUUAAUCACUAACAUCAAUAAUUACCACCACCGCCACCGUUACAAACCAUCUCCAUUAUCACUAACAAAUAUAAAUAUUUUUUCCAAUGAAAUAAAAAUUUUAUUUUAUUAAAUCAAAUAUUUUUCUAAUAUAUAAUUAUAUUUUAUAUAAAUUAUAUUUUUUUAUUAUAUAUGCAAAUAAAUAAAUUUUGCAUAUUCAGAUAUUGAAAAACAAAUAGUCUUGCCCAUUCAGAUUUCAGAUCUGAAGACAACAUCUUAAUCAUUCAGAUAUGCAUUCAGAUUUAGAUGUCUAAAUCUUAAUAAAAACAAAUGUAGCCUGAUGCUAAUUAUUUAUUCAAGAAGUAAAUCUCAAAAGAUGUAUUUAUGUCAUGACACAAUUUACGAGUCAUGAUGACACCUACUUUAUCCUACCGGUAGGUAAGCCAAACUAUAGCCGGAGCUAGAAACAAUAGGCUAAUUUGAUGGAAAAAGGCAUAAAAGCCAGAAAUUUACAAGUAAAGACUUACAACAAUAAUUCAAAUAAUACUGAUAGUUUGAAAGAUAGAUAAAAUAGAAAUAACAUUCCACGACCUAGUAGAGUCAAUAGAAGAGCCACUAACAAAAAGAAACAUAGGAACUGUAAUAGUCAAAUACAAAUUAGUCUCGAAUAAUGAAAGAUUAGAUAUAGAUAGUAGAAGAAAAAAGGGGGCAACUCCAACCCCGAAAGCUCACCCUAUCUCCGAACUCAACUCAACACGAUCUCGGCGUCAACGGCAACCACUAGUACUUGAAUCUGCAUAAAAAAGGUAUAGAAGUGUAAUAUAAAUACCAAAGUCGCGGGUACUAAUUAGGCAUCAUUGGCCGACUGAGCUAAAUAAUAAUAUGAGUACAAUAAUAUGCAAGAUAAAUAGCUAAGUCAAGGUAAAAAGGUAAACCAGAAAUAAUGGUUCAAUACUGUAAGUAAACAACCGAAACAAAUAUAAUAUAGAUGAAAGCAUAAGUAAUACUAAAAGACUGGCUCCCAUAUGACAGUAAAUGCAAAAAAGUAAAUAACUCAACGCGAGCCCCCAUAAGUCUGGAGGGUGUAAUCAAAGAUAACUAGUAAUUGAAAAUAUACUAAGUAACCGCAUCUCAAUACAUAACUAAGAAUCCUUCCAUACCAUAAACCUUGGAUUAAAACCAAUUCCGCAACCGUCAUAAACAACCCACCAAUGCUCGACUUGAAUCGAAACUCGUAAUCAAAUGUCGAACUUGAAUCGAAACUCGUAUAAUCAAAUGUCGAACUUGAAUCGAAACUCAUAUCAUGAAUACUGUCAGAAUUGAACCAAUCGGUCUUAAGAUCAUAAACCGCCAGAUUGGAAUCAAAAUUAGUAUCAACUCCCAAGUACCAAACUAGCAUAAGUAUAAAGGAUCUUGUCUCUACAAACUCUAAAAUAUGAGAUUUUAAAGUAUAAUAAGCCCAAUGAAUCUAGAAUGAGCUAACAAGAGUCUUGACCUAAGGUGGGCGAGAGGGACCCAAUUUUGAUCUCCGAAAUUUAUUUUAAGACAAAUUCUACUCUGGGCUAGGGUAAGGUAUCUAAGUUCACUUCUAGAUGUUAAGUAAACCACAAUUAGAUCUAAGAUAGCAAUUCUACCUAAACAUGCAAAAUUAGUCAAUUACGCCUAAUUUAUGGUUACAUAAUAGGCUAAAAGUUCCAAUAUACUAAUUAUUCCUCUAAGACCUAAUUACCAAUCCAUACCUAACACAUUAUCAUAAAUAUACUACGAGUAAGCUCAAUCAACAAGAAAGGUAAACUUACCCUAUCUCGACACAGAAGAAUGCCCGGUGAAAAUGGCUAAAUCAAUGAAUUUUCCUUUCGAAGAGCUUCCAUAAGAUGUCACGCUAUCAAAGUCAUAAUUUACUUAUCAAAACAAGAACAAUGUUACCCAUAUUGUAUUUUUGUACUUUGGAUCUAAAAUUACAUACAAAUUUCAAGUGGAGUUCGCUUUCGGAAUUGCACUUUCAAAAUCGUCGACGCCAUUUUCUAUGCUCAAGAAAUAUUUACCCUCAAGAAUGGGUGAAUUCCAAGCUCAAAUGGUACUACAAUCAACCCAUCAAUAUUCUAGGAAUUUUGAGAAUUUAUAGAGGAAUUAUCCAUGAUGAAAUUGAUGAGAACUUAUCAAGAAUUUGAAAAAAAAAAGAAAUUCAAGCUUACGAACAUCCCAAAAUCUCCUAUUAAUACCUGCUCACUCUUGUCAGGCCGCUAAAACUGACAAACUGGCACCAAAGGGGCUUGCUCUUUAGCGGCCAACUUGCCGCUAAAGCGGCACACGUUGAGCUCGUAGGCUCGCUAAAGCGCCUAAGGGCCACUAAAGCGUCCAAAGGGUCGCUUUAGCGAUCACAGUAGUUGCAUACACUAGCUGGAGACUUGGAAUUUUUCUGACUCUCCGCUGACCUCUCGAGAUUCAUUUGAAAUCUCAUAUAAGCAAACAAACUAUUCUACCCUAUCAAAUUCAACAUUCUGGCUCAAUGGCGCAAUCAAAAUUUUCACACGAGGUCGUUUCGAUAAAAAAUGAAUCCCACACCCAAGUGUCAUUUUUUUUAACUUUCGAUCAAUAACCCGUAAUGAGUCUGAAAACCUCGAAACCAAACCAAGGGGCUACCUAAUCUAAAAUCGAUGUUUUGGAGCUAUUGGAACUAUCAGAUUUAGAAUACGAGGUCAUUUGAUUGAAGUUUUUGCCCAGUAGCCAAUUCUGACCAGCAAAGACUUCAAAACAGAGAAUUGUCUCUAAAAACCAAAUGAAUUACCCGAUAACUAAAUUGUUAGCUCCAGUUCCCUCUAGUUUAUAUAUACUAGAUACAUUAAAAUAGUAAAUAUUAAUAUAAUAUUACUAUAAUGAUUUAACUAAAUAACCAAUCAUUACUGAGUAACAUGAGUCAACUAAUAAUAUUUAUCGACAUCAAUAUAAAUUAAAUUAAUUAAUUAAUAUAAAAAUAUUAUAUAUAUAUAUAUAUAUAUAUAUAUAUAAUAUACAAACAUAAUAUUAAAAUUAUUAACAUGUUGAUGGUUGAGAAAAAUUAAGAUCUGGCCUUUUAAGAAUUUGAUCAAAUAUUGUAGCUUCAUUUGUUAUCUUUUUUUUUUAAUACAUUUUUACUGUUGUGUCAAAAUUUUACUAAAAAUAAGCAACCCUUCUAUUCACGUAUGUAUACUAUGCAUCGUAACAAAUAUAUCACUUUUUAUAAAUUAUUUUUUAAAAAGUUAAAUAUUUAAGAGAAAAUAUUUACAAGUGUUGUCAAAAUACCAUAUGGUCUUGCAACGUGAUUUGUUGGUCAUUUGUUGUCACUAAAAAUUUAAAAUAAAGAGUUAUAUAUUCUUUGAUUAUCAUUGUUAAUGAUAUUUUUGAUUUUGUUUAUAGAAAAAGGGUGUGAACUAAAAUAAUAAUAUAUAAAUUAUAAAAUAAAUAAUUUAUGGUGAAAAAAUAAAUUAUAAAAUUUUAAAUUCAAACUUACGAAAUAUAUAUAUAUAUAUAUAUAUAUAUAUAUAUCAUUGAAAAAAUAGUUUUCUGCUUCUGUUUCUUUCCAACAACAAAAAACUGCUUCUACUUCUAUUUUAAAAACACUUUAGAAGUUAGAUAAACCCCUAUCUUUUAAAAAAAAUGCUUGUUUUUGUCCAAAAAAAAUAAUUUUUCUCAAAAAAAGCAAUUUCAAACUGGUUCAAAAUCUAAUGUUUAUGUAUACUUUAAAUUUAUAUUUUUCAGUGUUAUACCUCAUCCACAAAUUCUCCCUCUUCUUGGUCAGAUUCUCAAAAGAAAAUAACUGACCCUUUUUCAAGUUUAUGUCGCGAAAUAUGAGUGAACAAAGUAAUACCUAAGUUUUGUGAGUGAAACUUGAAGAACCCAAUUUCAACAUAAGAAUUUUAAUACAAGUUUUGCAUCAAGUAAGCAUCACAAAAAAUAUGACAACAAAGGAAAUAGUGAUUGAAGCUAACAUCGAUAAAGAAUUCAAUGGUACAAGAAAUUUUCUACAUGUGUUAAAUUUUUAAUUUUUUGGAUGCUACUACAGUAUUACAGGUCUUUUAUUUUUUAUUUCUUGAUAUUUCAUAUAUUAAAAUGUAUAAUAUAUAUCACAAAGUUUAACCUUUCUCACAAAAAUAGUUCCUGAUAUGCCUAUCUAAACUACUUGGGAUAUAUUGUUUGAAAGUCUUAAUUGUUAUGUUUGUAAUGUAAUAAGGGAUAUAUUAUUUGAAAUUUUAGUCUAGACUUUAUGAUAAAUACUUUAUUUUGUGAAAGUAAAUUUAUAUCGAAAAUUUAUGUGGACAUACAGAAAAUGAUAAUUAUUAAUUAACCUAGGAAAUUCAGUUCCUUUGUAAAUACAUUUUCGAUAAUCAAUAACCAGAUUUUGAGACUAGCUUGCCAUAACAUGCUCUAUGGUAAAUAUAUAACAAUAUUAUAUCUAUAAUCGAUCUGUGAAAUUAGCUUGUCAUUAUUCAGCAGAAUAAUAUAUAACAACAUUAUAUUAAUGUUAAUACAUAUUAUGAAGGAUAUCUUACUCUUAGCUUUUUUGAAAUAAUAUUUUGGUUCCUUUUGAACGGAUUUGAACAUAGACAUAAUAUAAGUAGUAUAUAUCCUCUAAUUUAAUUCAAUUCAAUUAGCAUUUGUAGUUGAUUUAACAGAAAUCAUAUUCAUGAUAUGAUUUUGAUCAAUUAAAUUGCCCAAGUCAUUCUGCAGUCUACCUCAAUAUUGUCUUAAAAAAAUAUUUAAGAAGCUGCUCAAAUUUUUUUUUUUUACAAUAACAAAUGGCUAAUAUUAUUCAAAAUAUUGUAUAAAUAUGAUAAUGAGAAGAUAUUCAAAUAAAAAAUCCUCAUAUCUUUCUGUUAAUAAUUUGGAUUAAAAAAAAUUCUCUAAUCCCAAUAAGUAAUUUUAUAAAUUCAUCAAUAAAUUUGGAGUCUUAUUAUAUAUAACACAAAGUCUUACGGUAAAUUAAUACGAAUAAAAAACUUUUCUUUCAUAUGGGGUGGUCUUAUAAACGGUAUUGGAUCAAAUGAUUUAAAUUUAUAAUUAAUAAUAAAUAAUUAAAUAAUUUAUAUCAUCAAGAAAAUAAAUAAUAUUUUAGGAUUUUCUUCUCGAACACUUUUUGCAUAUGGGCAGAUGCGUAUACUAGUAAAGAUUAAAAAGUUAAAAAUUAAUAAAAAUUAAUCUAAUCUAAUCUAAAGAAUAAAAUAAAAAUCUUUUUGUGUUUUUAAAUUUUUCAAUUUUUCUUCUUUACUUAACGCAAACAACUAAAAAAGAUAAAUUUUAUAGCAUACUUCAUUUUGAACAAAUAUUGAAAGACAUUCCACCUCACACUUAAAUCAUAAUUUGUCUCCAAAGAAAUAAAUAAAGUAAAACAAGGAUUAAAGAUACUCUUUGAGGCCCUAGCAACUUUUUUCUCCAAUUCCAUCAAGGGUGACGUGCAUCCCAUGCUUAAACUUAAACGUGCUUCUUAGAUUCAAAUUUUGGAGACUCAGACUUUCUCUAAAUUUGCAAAAGUAAAAACGACACCAAAUGUAACACUAAAAUAAAACUGCUUACCAUGCGUUGGGUUACCUCUAAACAAGCGCCUAAUUUAACGUCACAACAUGACACAUCAAAUUUUUCCUCCACCUUGAGGAUAUAAAUUUCAUCCCAAACAUCACAUUCAUCUUUUUUUGGUUCGCUCAUAGGGUGGUGGUACAAAGAUGAGGGAACCAUGUAAUGGAUGGUACAUGUUAAAUAGGUUGACCUUGAAGUGAGACAUGUUUUUGUGUUGCUUGUAUGGUGCAAAUUUAAGAAUAUAGAAUUCUUGUUCCUCAUCUUCACACUUUUCUACCAUAUUAGAUGACUCCAAAGACAUGUCAUCAUCUAAACAUAAUGUACAAAAGUUCUUUGAAUGGGACAUAACACAUCUUACUUUCAAACUAACACCAUUUACAACUUGCUUACUUUUACAUACUUUCAUAAUGUCAGACUCAAGUAAAGAGUGGUUUUUCUUCCUUCUCCACAGACUGGCCAAUAUCCAUAACUAUAGGUGAUUUGACAUCAAACGUCUCAAUCUUUUGAUUCAGUUGGGCCUCCAAGUCACGGACAUCUGAGUCAAAUUAUCUCUUGUAUGGGUUCAUCUCCCCUCUUACUUAUUUGGGUUGACAUGGUUGUGAGACUAUCCGGAAAGAAUUCGUAAGAUUUGACUUGUUGGUCUUGUUCCAUUAGCCAAUUUUCGUCUACUUCCCUUCCAACAUCACAAACAAUAGACUGACUAUAAUAGGGGUCCAAGGAAGGGGAAUAAAAGUUGGGGCAGGCCUUUCAAUGACCAUCCAGACCACCGCAUAUAUUGCACGCAUCCAAUUCAGCAGAUUGAGUAAGUGCACACCACUCGCUUUAUUGAAAAUUAUAAUAAAUACCCUCUCAGUGGAUUCCUCUGCAAAAAUAAUAAAAAUCAUCAUCAUUGGACUACCAUCUAUCCCAAGCUGACAUAUUAAUAAGAGUGAUAAAAAAGUAAAAGAAACUAAAAAGAUAAUUGUGUACAAUGAUUGAAAAGUAGAAGGAACUAAAAAGAUAACUGUGUACAAAAAAUAAACUAAUAAUUAACACCGAAGUCUCCAGCAACAACAUCAAAACUUAUUGCGUUCAAACACGCACGCAAGUGUACAUGAUCGUGCAAGUAAUAUAGAAUUUUUAGGUCCGAAUAUCAUACUCAAUAGGAACUUUUCGAUUAACUAUUUUAUUAAAUUAGACUAAUGCUAAUUAUUUAUUCAAGAAAUAAAUUUCAAAAGAUGUAUUUAUGAAUUAAUAAAAUUAAAAAUUAAAAUAAAAUAACUAAUGAUUAAUUAACCAAAAAAAGAACGGAGUCUUACACAAUCAAUGAAUAAAUAGAUCUAGUAUAAUGGUUUUGAUAACAAUCAUGUUUAGAAUCAUUUCAUCAACUUAUUCGAUCAUCUAGUUAUCGAUUUACGGUAUUGAUUUUAUAAUUCGAGAAUGGUCAUCCUCUAGUCGUCUAUUCGAAAUAGUCUCACAACUAGGGGUGGUCACGGUAUGGUAUAUACCGAAUUGCCAUAUCAAAUCAAAAGUUUUGACACCUUAAUUUUGAUAGUAUGGUAUUUGGUAUGGUUUAUGAUAUACAUUUUAAUUUUUUUUGAUAUAUAGUACGGUAUUCCAUAUAAAUGAUACACCGAAAUAUCGAAGUAUAUAGUUACAUAAAUAACUUCUAUAUAUAUAUAAUAAAAAUAACAAAUAUACUACUUAGUAUUAGUAUAAAAAUGUUUGGAUAUUGAAAUUUUUGCUACUCUAUCUUAAUUGUAGGAUCUUUUUUGUGUAAUUGACUAACAAAAAGAGUUGUUUGUAAUUCUUUUUUAAUAUUUCUACAUGUGUAAUGUGUAUUUAUGAAACAAUUGAGACGUACUUUAGAAAAAUUAAAGUAAUAAUACUCUAUUAUACGAGUAUAUCUUAUCGAAGUUGAACAAACUAUCAUUACCGAUUAUCAUACUGCAAAAUACCGAAAUCAAGCAUCAAAAUACCGAAUCAUAUCGAAUUAAUAUGGUAUGGUAAUGGUAUAAUGCUUUUAAAAAUCGAAUACCAAAAUUACCUUAUCGAAGUUUCAACUACCUUACCAUACCAUACCAUGCCUACCCCUACUCACAAUUAUAUCAUUGAGCGGAGCUAUGAGAAGCUAAUUCCAACACAUUUAUUUAAUUUUUCAUUUUGUAACCAAGUAAGGUGAUCUAGUGUAAUGACCCUUCCAAUCACUUUUCAUAUUUUGCUUAAAUUCACAGUUAGGGCUUCUCCAUAGUUGUCCUAAGUCAUUUAUGACUAGUUGGGGAUAAUAGAUCGGUUACCGAACUGUUUGUUUGUUUUUUAGAACCAAUUCCAUAUUUAAAAGUCUUCGUUGGUUCCAAAUGGCCAUCGGGUGAAAACUUCAGUAAGACAGUCUAGGAUGCAAAUUCUGAAUACGCCAGCAGCUCCGGAAUAUCAAUGUUAGGCUAGGUCGACUUUUGGUUCGGGUCCCAAUGCAUCUGAGCUUAUUUUGACUUAUUGGUCAAAAAGUUGAAAAAUUAUCAAUAUGAGUGUGGGGCCCAUAUUUGAUCUAAAUGACAUCAGAUGGAAAAUUCAACUUUUUCAUCAGAUUUGAAACGUCGAUUUUAGGCUAGGGGAACCCUAGGUUCAGGUCCCAAGGCUUUUAGAGUUAUUUUGGGCUAUUAGCAUAUUUUAGGAAAAAUAAAACUAUAGGUGUGGGCUCCACUUUUUGCCGAAAUGAUCUCAGAUAAAAAUUUUGAUGAUUCCAUUAGAUCUAAAAUAUGGUUUACACUCAAAUUUCACUAUUGGAUCAUAUUCUUUCUGUCACGACUUGAACUAGGGCCUAGCCGUGACGGACAUCUCAAGUCCACCGAAGACCGAAGACCGAAGACCACCCCCUUAGCCUAACCCAACAGAAUCAAGUACACCUACCAGUGGAUGAAUUCCAACAUAAACCAAGAUAUGAUGAGAAAACUCAAGGAACCUAUGAUAGAUCAAUAUCUAACAACCACCAACCAAUAACUAGUGCCGAUGACCAACCUACUACCCAUGUCCACAGUAAUGUCCAAAAAAGCCUCUACCAAAACUUAAAGAUAGUCUGGUCGGGACAUGCUCCCGAUCAUAGCCAAAAAUAAAUCUAAAAGAGAGUCUAUACAUAAGAAAACCCAAAACAUGAAAAUGAGUCUUCCAAAAGAUGGAAGCUCACCACUUCAGUCUGACUAACGAGUUGUCCCCCAAUAACCUAGUCACUGUGCAAGAGGAGUAGAAGUAUGGACAGUCCCUGCAUCACGUGGGGAUACAAUGUUUGAAGGCGGUUAGUGGUUGGACACUAGCAUGCAACUCAGGGAUAUAGAAUAAAAUAAUGCCAUGAACCAUAAUACAGAAACCACUAAAACCAGUGCACAACAUCAUAUGCAAUACAUAUAUAUCACAUGCCUGGAUAGGGAACAGGGUUUAGCAUGACCCUUAAAACCUUAACCUGGACUGUAUAGCCUGGUCGUCCUAAACCGGCACCCAUGGGCUAUAUAGGUUCAGCUUUCCCUACUGAAAGGGCACUAGUGCAUGUUAGUUGCACGAACCGGAGAAAACUCGAGGGAAAGCUAAAGCCAUCAAGGCAACUAUCCAUCCCAAAAUAUAUAUCACUUGUGACUCAUGCAUACGACCAUCAAGAACAAACCUCACGUCGGUAAAUAUGAGUUUCCAGUAUCAGUCCCCCCGGGAGAUCCACCUUCACGACUUUGCUACACAACCCUCUUUAAUCUUAUAAUAAAAUAAUUAACAUAUAACCCAACCACUAAUUCCAGGAGUCAAUUAUUAAGGUGUCAUUAAGUGGUAUCAUCAUACCGACUAUAGCUUAAAAGCAAUGCCAUCAGUCAACCCUUUGGAAAUUCCUUUGUACCCCCGAAUCCUUUAUUAAAACCCACUUGGAGGAUCCCAUUACACCCCACAAGGUUUUCAAAACCAUCCUUAACUAUUUUUUCAUUUAUGCAAUGCAUUAGUUUUAAGGAAAUAAAUCAAGCCAAAUGAUAAUUCAUAUUCCAAAAUCAAUCAUGUAAGUGGGUCGAGGUUAUUAUAAAUUUCCAUACCAAACCAAUUAUUUGGGGGAAUCCAUUAUACCCCUAAAUUCAUUCAACAUUCCUAUGCACCCAAAUGAGUGUCCAAACCAACAAUUCAUGCAUAAUAAAUCAAUAGCAACCAUGGAAAAACAUUCAAAUAAUUUAUAUCCAAAAUCUUCAACCCAUAGUUCAAAACCCAAUAUCCAAACAAUGAAUAAUAAACCAAUUUUCAUGCCAUUAAUAAAAUACAAGUAUAGGUAAAGAGGUACAUGCCUUAGACAUACGAGAAUUGAAAAGUAAUUUGGAACUUGGAACCCAGAAGAUGAACGUACGAUAAAUUCCUUAGUCUAUCUUGGAGUUUUGAGUUGGAGAGUAGAAUCGAGGAUUUUUAAUCUCUUAAAACUAAAAGGAAUAUGCUAUAUAACUCUUAAGGGUCGUAUAUAGGUGAAAGGACCUCAAUACCCCUUAUUCCAAAUAAAUAAAACAAAAUUGCACAGAUCUUACAUAGGGGUGUGGCACAGACCUUAUCGUGGAGGCUAACCUCUGUACUGCAGAACCUAAUACGAAGAUUAUCCUCCGUGUCAUGAAUUCUAUCAUAGAAAUUGUCCUUCGUGACACGAGGAUAAAAUGGAGGCUCACUGCCUCCGUGGACCAAAACAAUCUCGAACCCCAUUUAAAAAUUCUGGAACUCUCCUAAGAUAUCCUAACAAUAUAUCUUAACACAAUUCAAGUUAAAAAUCGAUGUUUCAAAUACGGUAGGGACAAAAAUAUAAUUCUCAGAAUUAAGAGGGGUUACAUUAUCCCCCCUUAGGAUCAUUCAUCCCCGAAUGAUGAGCUAGGAUACUUUUCGUAUGAGAAUAGCAAAAUUAUACUAGAAUCAAAUGAUAAACCUGGAUAAUAACAAGGAACAAUAAAAUUCAUACCUUAAGAUUCUUCUCCCGAUGCAUGGAACAAGAAUAGGUACCUAGCCUUCAUAUCUUCCUUUGCUUCUCAAGUGGCCUCUUCCACUUUAUGAUUCUUCCAAAGGACCUUUACCAAAGCUACAUCUUUAGUCCUCAAUCUAUAAACUUGCCUAUCCAAGAUCUUCACCGGGACCUCCUCGUAUGACAGGGAAUUCGAAAUACCAACACUCACAAGAGGCACCAUCAAUGAAGGAUCACCCACACACUUCUUCAACAAAGACACAUGAAACACAGGGUGAAUAAAACCAAAACUUGUAGGUAAUUCUAUCUCAUAGGCAAUAUUCCCCACUUUUUUCAAAAUCAAAUAGGGGACAAUGUCAUAGGGACCGAGCUUCCCCUUCUUUCCAAAUUACAUCACUACCUUCGUGGGAGACACCUUUAAGAAUACCCAAUCACCCACAUCAAAGUUCAACUCUUUUUACCUCACAUCUGCAUAGGACUUUUGGUAACUUUAGGAAGUCUUAAGCCUAUCUCGAAUCACCUUCACCUUCUCCAUAACUUAAUGAACUGAAUCAGGAUCGAAUAACCUUGCCUCACUAACUUCGAACCACCCAUUAGGAGAUCUACACCUCCUACCAUAAAAUGCCUUAAACGGGGCCAUCGUUAUGCUAGAGUGAUAGGUAUUAUUGUAUGCAAACUCCAUAAGAGACAUAUGGUCAACCGAACUACCACCAAAGUCAAUUACACAAGCUCAAAGCAUAUCUUCCAAAGUCUAAAUAGUCCUUUCCACUUGUCCAUCCUUCUGCGGGUGGAAAAUGGUGCUAAGGUUCACCUUAGUCCCCAAACCUCGCAGGAAUGACCACCAAAAAUAAGAUGAGAACUGAGUACCACAAUUUGAAAUGAUGAAAACUGAAGCACCAUGCAACUUACCGAUCUCCUGAAUAAAUAAACUUGCAUAGUCCUCAGCAGAAUAGUUACUCUUUACCAAAAGGAAGUGAGCAAACUUAGUCAUCCUAUCCACAAUGACCCAAAUAGAAUCAAACUGGUUUCGAGACUAUUGAAGGCCAGUAAAAAAUCCAUAUUAAUUACUUCCCACUUCCACACAGGCAACUCAAUUUCUUGAGAUAACCUACUGGGCCUCAAGUGCUCAACCUUCACUAGUUGAUACACCAUGUACUUAGCCAUACAAUCAAGCACAUCCAUCUUCAUGUUAUUCCACCAAUAAAUGUCAUUAAGGUCAUGACACAUCUUCUUCAAAUGAGGAUGAACGAAAUAACGCGAGUCAUGAGCUUCAGCCAAAAUUCUACCUUGCAGCCCAUCCACAUUGGGAACACACAACCUCCAUUGGUACCUCAAGAUACCAUUUCCACCAAUCUCGAAAACCAUUAUCUUCUGCCUACCUACAUUAUUUUUUAUUUGCAUCAAGAUAGGAUCUAACACCUGCUUUGCUUUUACCUCAGUGCCAAGAGAAAACUUUGCCACCUCUUGAACAAAUAUAUUACUAUCCUUAAAAUCUAAGAGACAAACUCUAAGAUUAGCCAAAUAGUAAAUAUCCUUAAUCAAAUCCCGCUUCUUUUUAUCCACACGGGAUAAAAUCCUCAUAGAUAACCUGCUAAGAGCAUCAUAAACCACGUAAGCCUUACCUGGGUGAUAGUGAAUACUCAUGUCAUAGUCCUUGAGUAACUCGAGCAAUCUUCUUUGGCUGAGAUUCAACUCCUUCUAAGUGAAUAUAUAUUGAAAGCUCUUAUGAUCUGAAUAAAUGUCAACAUGGACUCUAUAUAAAUAAUAUCUCCAAAUCUGUAAUGUGAAUACUACAGCCAGCAAUGCCAAAUCAUGAGUCAGAUAAUUUUUCUCAUGAACUUUCAACAGCCUAGAAACAUAUGCUACCACCUUGACAUGCUUCAUUAAUACACAAACAAGCCCCACACAUGAUGUAUUACAAUAAACCAGGAAGCCAUUAGUAUCCUCGAGUAGGGUCAAACCAGAGCAGAAGUCAAUUUAUUUUUCAACUUCUCAAAACUCCCCUCACAAGCAUCGGACCACAGAAACUUCACCUUUUUGCUGUGUCAACUUAGUCAAAGGUAUGGAAAUCGAUGAGAAGCUCUCCACAAACCUCCUAAAAUAACCAGCUAAACCCAAGAAGCUCUGAAUAUCAGUUAGAGUCAUGGGUCUAGGCCACUUCUUAACCACCAUAAAUUUUUGUGGAUCUACCAUAAUUCCUUCACUAGAAACAACAUGACCCAGAAAAGUAACAACAUUCAACUAAAAUUUACACUUUGAAAACUUAACAUACAAUCGCUAAUACUUUAAGGUAUGCAACAUAAUACAGAGGUGAUUUGCAUGAUCCACCUCACUCUUUGAAUAUACCAAAAUAUUAUCUAUAAACACAAUCACAAACAAAUCCAACAACUGGUGGAAUACCCGAUUCAUGAGAUACAUAAAUGCCUCUAGGGCAUUAGUCAGCCCAAAAUCCAUAACCAAGAACUCAAAAUGUCCAUAUCGGGUAUAAAAGGCAGUCUUAGGGAUAUCUUCCUCCCUAAUAUUUAACUGAUGAUAACCCUAUCGAAGGUCAAUCUUAGAGAAAUUCUUAGCACCCUAAAGUUGGUCAAAUAGGUCAUCAAUCCUAGAAAGGGGAUACUUAUUCUUCACCAUCGCCUUAUUCAAUGGGUAGUAAUAAAUACACAUCCGAAGAGAACCAUCCUUCUUAUGCAUGAAAAGAAUGAGAGCACCCAAUAAAGAUGUACUAAGGCUGAUAAAACCUUUAUCAAGAAGAUAUUUCAACUACUUCUUAAGUUCUUUCAACUCAUCCAAAGCCAUUCUAUAAGGAGAGAUACACAUAGGACGAGUGUCCGAAAGAAGAUCAAUCCCAAACUUAAUUUCCCUAUCGGAAGGGACACGAGGAAGAUCAUUAGGGAGAACCUUAAGAAUUUCACUAACCAUAGGAACAGAUUAUAAAGAAUGACCCUCUGAGUUAUAAUCUUUAACCCUGACCAAAUGAUAAAGACACCCCUUGGAAAUCAAUUUCCAGGCUCUAAGAUAUAGAUAUGAACCUUUCCUUAGGCACUAGGGAACUCUCUUCCCACUCAAUGAUCAUCUCAUUAGGGAAUUUAACAAUGACCUUAUGGGUCUGACAGUUUAAAGAGGCAUAGCACGAAUACAACCAAUCCAUCCCUAAGAUGACAUCAAAAUCUAGCAUGUCUAAUUCAAUCGAGUCAACUAAAGUUUUUAAAAAACCUCAAAUUUUGGUCCUUGAAAAAUUCUUGAGCUUUGAGCUCACUGCCUCUACUACGACCCAUUUUACGAAUCAUAAUAUAUCUUUAUGGGUCAUAGGACAUAGUCGUAAUGAGCCCAUACGGAUUUGUCUAAGUCAUCGCUUUGAUAAUGACUGGACUUAAUGAGUCUUAUAGACUCCUAACAAGUCAUAAGGAGGGUAUUUCAUAAUGUAUCCAGUGUAGUGCCGCUAUGGACUAUUGAGACUAUGAGUUAACCCUAUGAGUCAUAGUUCUUAUUAUGAAAUGUAAGGUUCCAGUCCUAGGGUUCAUAAAGAAGAUCCAAGGAUGUUUUGGUUUGGCUAUAACUGGAGGGUCUGAGUUGUAAGGUGACCCUAUGAGUCGUGAGGUCACCCGUAAUGACUGACAAUUUAAUUUCUAGCUUUUAAUAAGGGUAUUUUAGAUAUUUCCCCUCUUGUCCUAAACAUAACCCACAACCUAUAAAUCAUAUUGAGAAUUUAUUCUCACCCAUAACACUAUCAAAAUAUAUCCUCUUCUCUCUGAAAUUCUCUUAAGACAAACAAGCUAGGGUUUCUUUAACGUUGAGCAUCCAAGGGUCAAUCUAAGGUUUCUUCUCCAUAUUUAUGAAUAUUUUAGGCAUGUUACUCUUUCCUUAUUGUUAAUUUAUUAAAAGCAUGUAUUUUAAAGUAUUGUUCAUGAGAUGUUUAUGACAGUUUUGAAACUAGGGUUGGGGGUUUUGAAUGCUCAUUGUUGAAUAAUGUUUUCCCAUGGUUUAUAUAUGAUUAAUCAUGCUUUGAAUAUGAUUUUGAACUUGCGGGUGCAUGGGGAUGGUUGUUAAACUAAAAGGUUAUGGUUAACCUUAAUUUGAUGAUAUUUGCCUUGAUUUGAUUUUGGAAAUUGUAUGCCCUUAACAUGUUUGUGAAAUUAUUAAUGAAAAGGCUUUUGCCACAUAGUUUAGUUUACCCACUUGUAAUAAUGCAUAGGCAUAAAAAAUAUAAUAAAGUAUGCAUGUUUUUCUUGAAAGGCCUUGGUGGCCAUGUAUAAAUGGUAGAAUUAGAACCUUGUGGGUUCGGUUGAUUAAAUGGGUUCAAGUCCUAAAUGAUUGAUUAUUUGAACAGUUUUUGACCUACGGGUCUGAGUCCCAGUUAGAGGAGUAGAUGAUAUGGAAUGAUGAUAUUAGCUUGCAAGUGAGGUUGGUAUGACAAUACCAACAAGAUGCCUUGGUGUGUAAUUAGUUUAAUUAAAAUGGGAAUAUGUGUUAAAUAUUUUAAUUGGGAUUUGAAAGAGGGUUGUGUAACUGAGUCGUGAAAGUUAAGGUCUGAGUAACCGAUACUGAAAAUCAUGCUAGCCGGUGUGUGGGUCAUUAUAGCUUGAGAGUUCGAGUCCCCUUGCUUGUGACUAGGUGGUUCGAGUUCACCCUAUUAAUAUUAUUAUGAUUGGAGAGUUUGAGUCUCCCAAAUCAUAUUUCAUGAUCUGGUUCUUAAGUUAUCUUAGUAGAUGAUUGGAGGGUUGAGUCCCCCGUGCAUAUAUAUAUGAUCUUCCUUUGAUUUGGGUGGAUACACGUACUGGGGCUCGACCAGGGGGUAAGAGUUGGGGCCCAUAUAGCCUGUGGGUACUAUUAUAUGACGAUUGAGCUACAGGCCCAGGCUAAAGUUUCAAAGUGAACGUUUAGCCUUGUUCCCUAUCUCGGCAUGUGAUAUAUAUAUAUAUGUAUGUAUCUAAAUGUAUUUGAUUAUGUGUAUUGGAUUUUGAAUGAGUUUGAAAUUUUCGAUCAUGGCAUUAUGUUAUCCUUAUCCCUAAGUUACAUACUAGUGUUCACCCUGCUAACCAUUUUUGGAUGUCGUAUCCCCAUGCGGUGAAGGAAUUGGCUAUACUUCUACUUCUACUGCAUAGUGAUUUAGAUUUAGGGUCAGUUCGUGAGUUGACAUUGAGAUGGUGAGCUUUCAUACAUCGAAAAUCUACAUUUCAUGUUUUAGUCUCUUAUGUCUCAGACUGUUUAGACUUAUUUUUGGCUAUAGUCGGGGGCAUGUUUUAACACUUUAUUGAUGUCCAAUUUUUGGUAAAGGCUUUGUUGGAUUACGGUGGACUUGGGUGAUGUUGGUCGGUUGUUGGUUAUUGAUUAUAGAAGUAUUUUUUAUUCUUUGAAAUUUUUAUCUUAUUACAUAUUUGGAAUUUAUCCGACAGGGGCGAUAUUGUGGUGGUUGGUUAGGUGCAAUGGAGUGAUCUGUGAUCUCCGGUUAUCAGCGGACCUGAGAUAUCCACAUGGCUAGGCCCUGUUUUGGUUCAUGACAAAGUAGUAUCACAGCCUAGGUUUGGUGUCAUUGGGUGUCCAAUAAAACGGUGUCAAGUAGAGUCUCUAUUAUAGGUGUGUAGCGUGCCACACUUAUAAGGGAGAGGCUAUAAGGCAUUUAGGAAUAUUUCCCUUUCUUGUGAUCUAUUCUUCAGGCUAUAGAGUCUAAGUUCAUGAAACCUCAUCUUAUUCUCGUAUGUUUACUUUUUAGAUUAUGUCUCUCAGAUAAUUUGAUAUUCAUGGAAACUCUUUUAUCCGUCUAAGGACAAUGUGAAUGAAACUUGUCCAACCCCUGAGGUGCAAACCUGGUCUAGGGUCGUUUCUUCUGAUCGUCCUAAUAGAGUUCCACUAUUUACCCUUAGUCCUCCUCGAACACCUCAAGACAAAGUGUCCAAUGUUGAGUUUCGCCGUUCUAUUUAUCUGUUGACCCAAAUAGUAGUCUCUCUGUCAUGUCAGUCUGGUCUUAUUAAAGGGAGAUGAAAUUAGACAAAUAUAGGGGAGAGAUAGAGCAAUAAGUUCAUAUAUUCAGAGCAAGAUAGGGGCUUUCACAAUAGUGGUAGACAUGGAAGACAGUGUACUACGGGAGGGUCAAGGAAAAUUCUGGUUCAUACCCGUUAGCUAGAUCCCCUAACCUAAAGUCGUCUGAUAAUUGUCAUUUUCAAAAAAAGGUGUAGGUCCUAGGGAACAGGGUGCCCAGUAUUAGUAUAGUAGAGCCCAGUUAGUCCCUCCCUAUCCUCUUUGCCAAUUUUAUAGUCAGUGGUAUCGUGGGUUUCAUCGUGAUGGAAAGAACUGAUGCUUCAAGUGUGGUCAACCCGGUCAUAUGCAUUGUCCUUCGAUCAGUAUUGCCACUGGAUCCAAUAAGAUUCUAGAUGCUAGAUCUUCAAUUCUCACACCAAGGAGUGCUACUUCUAAUACCAUCACUGACCAAAAUUAUCUUUAUACUCUUGCUACUCACCAGGAGUCUGAGGCAUCACCAGAUGUUGUUGAUGGUAUGUUACAACUCUUUCUUGGGUGUCCAAUAAAACGGUGUCAAGUAGAGUCUCUAUUAUAGGUGUGUAGCGUGCCACACUUAUAAGGGAGAGGCUAUAAGGCAUUUAGGAAUAUUUCCCUUUCUUGUGAUCUAUUCUUCAGGCUAUAGAGUCUAAGUUCAUGAAACCUCAUCUUAUUCUCGUAUGUUUACUUUUUAGAUUAUGUCUCUCAGAUAAUUUGAUAUUCAUGGAAACUCUUUUAUCCGUCUAAGGACAAUGUGAAUGAAACUUGUCCAACCCCUGAGGUGCAAACCUGGUCUAGGGUCGUUUCUUCUGAUCGUCCUAAUAGAGUUCCACUAUUUACCCUUAGUCCUCCUCGAACACCUCAAGACAAAGUGUCCAAUGUUGAGUUUCGCCGUUCUAUUUAUCUGUUGACCCAAAUAGUAGUCUCUCUGUCAUGUCAGUCUGGUCUUAUUAAAGGGAGAUGAAAUUAGACAAAUAUAGGGGAGAGAUAGAGCAAUAAGUUCAUAUAUUCAGAGCAAGAUAGGGGCUUUCACAAUAGUGGUAGACAUGGAAGACAGUGUACUACGGGAGGGUCAAGGAAAAUUCUGGUUCAUACCCGUUAGCUAGAUCCCCUAACCUAAAGUCGUCUGAUAAUUGUCAUUUUCAAAAAAAGGUGUAGGUCCUAGGGAACAGGGUGCCCAGUAUUAGUAUAGUAGAGCCCAGUUAGUCCCUCCCUAUCCUCUUUGCCAAUUUUAUAGUCAGUGGUAUCGUGGGUUUCAUCGUGAUGGAAAGAACUGAUGCUUCAAGUGUGGUCAACCCGGUCAUAUGCAUUGUCCUUCGAUCAGUAUUGCCACUGGAUCCAAUAAGAUUCUAGAUGCUAGAUCUUCAAUUCUCACACCAAGGAGUGCUACUUCUAAUACCAUCACUGACCAAAAUUAUCUUUAUACUCUUGCUACUCACCAGGAGUCUGAGGCAUCACCAGAUGUUGUUGAUGGUAUGUUACACCUCUUUCCCCAUGAUGUGUAUCGCUUUCUUAAUUUGGGGUGUACUCUCUCUUAUCUGAUCCCUUAUGUGGCUGUUCACUUUGGUUUUGAUCCUGAGUGUAUUCUGGAUUUUUUUUUGUAUCCAUCCUGGCGGGUGACUUUAUUAUGGCUAAAAGGGUCUAUAGGGGUUGUGUGAUAUCGGUCCAUGGUAGGGAGACCUAGGUGGAUCUAAUAGAGUUGGGCAUGAUAGACUUUGAUAUGAUUUUUGGAUUGGUUGCAUUCAUUGUCGGACCCGUAGGGUCAUUUUCAUUUAACAAAUGAGUUAGUGAUUGAAUAAACUGACUGACCUCUGCUUACCUGAGAUUGGGUACCCUGUGCCUAGAAAUAAUCACCACCUUGAUGACGCCUGUCACGCGCCUGGUAAUGAGCACUUGCAGAAGAGUAGGAACCAAAACUCCCACACUUCUUUUUCUUUUAUUUACCAUCAUCCCUACCACCCUGAUACUGAGCACCUCUCUAGUAAAAAAAAA